rnacentral:rRNA from 1 species
CGGGAAUUUUGCGCAAUGGACGAAAGUCUGACGCAGCAACGCCGCGUGAGGGAUGAAGGCCUUCGGGUUGUAAACCUCUUUUCUCAGGGACGAUAAUGACGGUACCUGAGGAAUAAGCCACGGCUAACUACGUGCCAGCAGCCGCGGUAAUACGUAGGUGGCGAGCGUUGUCCGGAUUUACUGGGCGUAAAGAGCGCGCAGGCGGUCGUGCAAGUCGCGUGUGAAAGCCCCCGGCUCAACUGGGGAGGGUCACGCGAUACUGCUCGACUCGAAGGCAGGAGAGGGAAGUGGAAUUCCCGGUGUAGUGGUGAAAUGCGUAGAUAUCGGGAGGAACACCAGUGGCGAAGGCGACUUCCUGGCCUGUUCUUGACGCUGAGGCGCGAAAGCUAGGGUAGCAAACGGGAUUAGAUACCCCGGUAGUCCUAGCCGUAAACGAUGGACACUAGGUGUUGGUGGUAUCAACCCCGCCAGUGCCGAAGCUAACGCAUUAAGUGUCCCGCCUGGGGAGUACGGCCGCAAGGCUA